UACGACUACAUAUCAGGCAUAUCAAUAAGCGGAGGAAAAGAAACUAACAAGGAUUCCCUUAGUAACGGCGAGUGAAGCGGGAAGAGCUCAAAUUUGAAAUCUUCAAGGUUUUACCUUGACGAAUUGUAGUUUAAAGAAGUGUUUUCUGUUGAAGUUUCGGUAAAAGUUCUUUGGAAUAGGACAUCAUAGAGGGUGAGAAUCCCGUAUUUGACCAUUACUUCCAGCGUUGUGAUACACUUUCAAAGAGUCGGAUUGUUUGGGAAUGCAGUCCAAAAUGGGUGGUAAAUUUCAUCUAAAGCUAAAUAUUGGCGAGAGACCGAUAGCGAACAAGUACCGUGAGGGAAAGAUGAAAAGAACUUUGAAAAGAGAGUUAAACAGUACGUGAAAUUGUCAAAAGGGAAGCGUUUGACACCAGUGUUGUUUUUCCGAAAAUCAAUUACGAAUGUUUUGUUUUUGAGGAGUUAUGACUUCAUCGGCUUGCUUCUUUCUUUACGAAACUUUCUUAAUGCACUUUUCGGUUAACAAGUCAACAUCAAUUUCUUUUGUUGUAAAAGGGUACGAGGAAGGUGGCUUUCUUUUCGGAGAAAGUGUUUAUAGCCUUGUGCCUCUGCAAUCGGAGAGAUUGAGGUCUGCAGCGUAGAUCCUUCUGGAUUAGAUACAUUUGUGCUAAGUUAUAGUUUUUCAUAGACAACAUGUUGACUAUGAUUAGUCAUGUAACUUACUCGCUUAUGCUAAUUUUACCUACGCUUAGGAUGUUGAACGCGCACAGAGUCUC
rnacentral:rRNA from 1 species